rnacentral:misc_RNA from 1 species
CAAGGGUGCGGCACUUAAUGCUGUUCAGAUUGCAGAGUUGUUACUGUAGUUCGAUGACGCCAGAAAAUCGGUAUAUUGCUAGACGAAGUCUUUGUUGUUACUAUUUAUGAAAUCAUAGGAUGUCUCUUGAGGCGAAAAUUAGUCUCUCGGUCUUGGAAUGGAUUAACUUAGAGCAAAUUUUGCAGGAUGGUCAAUUAAGGUUAUGAAUUUGCAUGAUCUCUGGUUUGAAGGAAAAUUUUGGAAUUGAUGUUGUAAGUUUUUUACGAUAAGCCAGUUUGAUGCUUUGUUUAUGAGUUGUUGAUUUAAUGUGUG